UAACACAUCGCUGUUGAUAAAUACAAUGUUGGAGGGAAUUUAAAGACAACUAAUGGAUGCAUUUGCCCGCAAUAAAACCUAGUUAAUAAAUUGGGCAAUACCAGCACAGCGAAGCCUUUUCUGCCUUGCAUAAUCACGAUCUCGAUUUUACUUACGUGAAAUUGAAGCCGGUCUUCUCUCAUGAUUCACACAAGCUUUUCUUCCGCCAAACUUUGCAUUCAUCACGAAAAUAACGUUACCAGGGUGGUGCGAAAAAAUGAACUGUAUCAUCGAAGCGAUCUGUUUCCACCAGAAGAGAACAUUACCCACGUCAAUAACUGUAAGUUAUUUUAAAUUCUUGGAUUUGUGUAAAAAAGUGGUUGAUUAUUUUUAGGAAGUUGUAUAAGGAAUUUUCAAUUCAAUUUUUUCGAAAGUAAUUUUAAUAUUCCUAAAGAAAUCCACCUACCAGAACUAUUUGUAUGAACAGAUUUUAUUACAUUUAUGAACAAGAAUCGAAUCCAAAUAAAGAAUUUUGGUUAUUCUCUUUCAUUGCCAUAUUAAAAAUUUUGGCCAGUGCCGUAGAGGUUCCAUUUUAUUUUCUGGGUUGGUCUUUGUAAAUGUAACUACCCCCUUACAGUACAUACAAUGCGCUCCAAUUAAAACCGACACAAUUUUCUUACUAUUAGAGCUACGAAUUCGAUUAAUAGCAUAUAUGCGAUUGCUUAUUAAAAUCCAGGUGAGAAUCGUGUUACUUAGGUAUAGCAUUUUUUUGAAAAGAACAUCCUGUAUAUUUUUAGAUUUUAGAAAUAAAAAUGAAAUUCUGGAUAAUAACUUAAUUUGGUCACCAAAUUGAUUGUGUUACCUUGAGUAGGUAGACCUCCAUUGAUUGCACCCCCAACACCGUUAAUACCAAUACCUUUACUUUUACUUCAUCGAAUGGAUUUAUCUUUACCCCUUGAUGUGCUUUUCAUUUACACCCAAGUAUGGAGAGUGCAGCCGAAUAAAAAAUAGACAUCGUACAAUCGGCGGGCAUCUUUCUGUCAACCAGCCCAAGAGAUGGGAAUGCGUGCAGUUUCCGGUAGGCAGAGGAAGACCUAACAAUGCGAAGACCUUUACUAUAAUAAGUAAAGUAGUAAUUACAAUGAACUUGACACAAUCAAUAGGCGAAGGCCGAAGAUCAAUAGAAAAAGUGACAUUACGCAACACUAUGACUGUAGCCUAGGCAAGAGGCCCAUAAGUUUUAAUCGGGAUAAAGGAAUGAGGUAAAAGAAUCAUUUCUGAAAUCAUCAUUAGACUGCGAAGCCGAAGAGCAAUGACUUACAAACAUUGACGUCAAUGCGACCACGACCACCUUCCUUUUCUUUAAAACGCAUGCAAAUACCCGUUAACCUUAAUUCCUUUGAUAGGUAAUUAGAAUACUUUAAAUUCAUUAAUCAUAAGUUAAGUGUGUCUAACAGGAUGAUUACUAACAUUUCAGAGUUUAUUUUUAACUUUAUCAUUUUAUUUGUUUAUGUAAAAAUAGAUCAGGUAGACUUUUGUUUAAAAGGGGAUCUUUUUGACCUUCACCUAACUCAAUUAAAUUAUUACCUAUAUUAAAAGGUCGAUUGGAGGAUAUAUAUUUAUUGACAGCGAUGGCGUUUCUGGAGUUUAGUCG